AGGCUCUGGCUUCCCGGCACUCCGCGAGUUUGAGUGGGCGUGUCACGCCGGUCAGAGCCGUCCCGACUGGGAUCAGCCCACAGAACGCCAGGCAUGAAUGGCUGGGGAUAGCGAUGGUGCACGUCACACCUGUGAGACCUCAUGACACUGCGGUGGUACCCAGCUGGCCCUGUUGGCAGAGAGAAGAGUGCUGAGAGCUUGGCGAAACACUGCGUCAGCUCAUCUCUAGACCCUCCAGGUCCGCUAUCCAAAUUGGAAACCUGUCCAGCACCAGUGUGGAGUGGGAUUGAUGGAGUAGGGGAACUGAAGCACAGAGAAGUGACUUGCCCAAGAUCACACAGCAGAGCCGCCCCGAGAGCUGAAGGAGCAGAUCCGGAGAAGCGAGCAGAGGGGUGCAGAAGCCAGCAGGUCCUGGGAUUAUCGGCCGGGAGAAAGCCGUGAGAUCGUGCUCCGUGGGAUACCCUGGCCUGUCUCAUCUCAUCGUCCCGGACUACUCCGGCGCUUCCCCCAUAGCAAGUGUUUAAUAAAUACCGUUUUGGCUACACUGUGGUGGAAGGUGGGAGUGAGGGUUUUGUCUUAUUGGUGGUGGUAACCGUUGUGUUUGCUGUGCUUCCACCAGCUGUGACGCACUGUACGAGUCGCCUGGGAAGUUCAGUGAAACCAUGGACCGCUUACACACACUCAUGGGAGAGACAGCCUUAAAAAAAUAUUUACACAUAGAAUAAUCAGAAUAAAUAACUGGACGUACAGUUGAUUAUAACAUAUAUACACAAGGGCUGAAGAAGAGUAUAAAUAAAUGCAUAAAUGCAUAGAGGUU